GAUGAACGCACAAGACGUGCCUAACACAUGCAAAUCGAAUGAAAACAAUAAUUAAUUAUUGUUUUCAUGGUGAACGGGUGAGUAACACAUAAGAAUCAGCUUUUAGAUAAGGCAUAAAAGAGUAAUAUCUUGGUAAUUCCUUAUAUGCGCAGCAGUGCUUAAAAAGGGGACUCCCGUCUAAAAACGAGCUUAUGCCUGAUUAGCUAGUUGGCGAGUUAAAAGCUCACCAAGGCGAAGAUCAGUAGCUGGCCUGAGAGGGCGGCCAGCCACAUUGGGACUGAGACACGGCCCAAACUCCUACGGGAGGCAGCAGUGGGGAAUCUUCUGCAAUGGGCGCAAGCCUGACAGAGCGGCGUCAUGUGAAGGAAGAAGGCCUGAAAUAGGUUGUAAACUUCUUUUACUGAGUAAUGAAUACUGACAACGCAGUAAAAAAGUAUCGGCUAACUCCGU
rnacentral:rRNA from 1 species